UGGCCUCCUGAGAAUCUGACAAGACGUAAAUAGCCAAGAAUAUCUGUGGAACUUAAUCAGUGAGUUACAAUAUUUAUCACUGCAAGUGUGUUGUUCAUUGACACUAUAAAGCCAUAUGGAAUUAAGCAGCCUUGAAACACAAAAUGGAGAAAGGCUAAGAGCUGAGAAUUGUUGCCUUCAGGGAAAUAUAAUCAAUGUCAAGCAAACAACCACCCCAAAAUGCCAGCCACCUCAAGAAAGAACAGUUCAUGUGCAGGUGACCAUGUAGUUCAAGUCAUCAUUAAAUCCAAAGCUGAGCAGCCAUGAUGCUAUUGGUGGAAUUGCCCUUGACCAAGAGAAAUCCAUCUUGAUUGUCUCAAUAAUUGGCUCAAGGGCCAUUGAUGAUGAGGUCCUAAAUUUAAUUCCUAAUAAAACCCCUGAAGUUUUAGAGGCAAAAUGAGAAAGCAUAGCUCACAAAUACCUUGACCAAUGACUUGCCUAUUCAAUGUGAAAAAGAUGAGGGCGAAGACCUUUAUGAUGAUCCAAGUAAUGAACACACUGGAGAAAGUCAAACAGUCAAAACAAUGUCCCAGACUCCGUGAAGUUCCUGGGUAGAGAAGUAGACAGACGUACACCAUACCUAAUAAUUGGAGGUCCAAGAGAAUGAGAGAAUGGCAGAAAGAACUUUAGAGCAUGGGUAUGAUGGCUAGAGCUUGAGCAGCCAUUGUGGACAUCAGAUGAACCUGAAAGUGAAAACUAUGAGCUGAAUAUGACAAAGCAAAUAGAAAACUGGAUUCAUGAUGACACUGCAAAGCUGCC
rnacentral:antisense_RNA from 1 species